UGCAGUCGAACGCUGAAGCCUGGUGCUUGCACCGGGUGGAUGAGUGGCGAACGGGUGAGUAACACGUGAGUAACCUGCCCCUGACUUCGGGAUAAGCCCGGGAAACUGGGUCUAAUACCGGAUACGACUGCCGGACGCAUGUCUGGUGGUGGAAAGUUUUUUCGGUUGGGGAUGGGCUCGCGGCCUAUCAGUUUGUUGGUGAGGUAAUGGCUCACCAAGACGACGACGGGUAGCCGGCCUGAGAGGGCGACCGGCCACACUGGGACUGAGACACGGCCCAGACUCCUACGGGAGGCAGCAGUGGGGAAUAUUGCACAAUGGGGGAAACCCUUGAUGCAGCGACGCAGCGUGCGGGAUGACGGCCUUCGGGUUGUAAACCGCUUUCCAGCAGGGAAGAAGCGCAAGUGACGGUACCUGCAGAAGAAGUACCGGCUAACUACGUGCCAGCAGCCGCGGUAAUACGUAGGGUACGAGCGUUGUCCGGAAUUAUUGGGCGUAAAGAGCUCGUAGGUGGUUGGUCACGUCUGCUGUGGAAACGCAACGCUUAACGUUGCGCGUGCAGUGGGUACGGGCUGACUAGAGUGCAGUAGGGGAGUCUGGAAUUCCUGGUGUAGCGGUGAAAUGCGCAGAUAUCAGGAGGAACACCGGUGGCGAAGGCGGGACUCUGGGCUGUAACUGACACUGAGGAGCGAAAGCAUGGGGAGCGAACAGGAUUAGAUACCCUGGUAGUCCAUGCCGUAAACGUUGGGCACUAGGUGUGGGGGGCAUUCCACGUUCUCCGCGCCGUAGCUAACGCAUUAAGUGCCCCGCCUGGGGAGUACGGUCGCAAGGCUAAAACUCAAAGGAAUUGACGGGGGGCCCGCACAAGCGGCGGAGCAUGCGGAUUAAUUCGAUGCAACGCGAAGAACCUUACCAAGGCUUGACAUACACCCGGACCGUCCUGGAAACAGGUCCUCUUCUUUGAAGCUGGUGUACAGGUGGUGGCAUGGUUGUCGUCAGCUCGUGUCGUGAGAUGUUGGGUUAAGUCCCGCAACGAGCGCAACCCUCGUUCUAUGUUGCCAGCAUGUGAUGGUGGGAACUCAUAGGAGACUGCCGGGGUCAACUCGGAGGAAGGUGGGGAUGACGUCAAAUCAUCAUGCCCUUUAUGUCUUGGGCUUCACGCAUGCUACAAUGGCUGGUACAGAGAGAGGCGAACCCGUGAGGGCAAGCGAAUCCCUUAAAGCCAGUCUCAGUUCGGAUCGUAGUCUGCAAUUCGACUACGUGAAGUCGGAGUCGCUAGUAAUCGCAGAUCAGCAACGCUGCGGUGAAUACGUUCCCGGGCCUUGUACACACCGCCCGUCAAGUCACGAAAGUCGGUAACACCCGAAGCCGGUGGCCUAACCGUAAGGAGGGGGCCGUCUAAG
rnacentral:rRNA from 1 species